CAACAUGUAUGUCAAAAUGAUAUUAAUGAUACUAAUAAAAAUCUGCUAAAAUGAGCAUAAACAAUUGACCUACAGAAUCUGAGUUCAAUUUUCAGAAACAUCUGGUCAUAUCAAGAUGUCUCCUGGCUUCAGCAAAAACCAAGGUAAACUGCUUUACUGUUUGGAACGUGCUUGGCGGUUUCAGAAAAUAAGAUGCUGUGAACUGAGCUGGGGAAUGGAAAAAACAUUUAAAGCAAAGAUUGCUAGGCAUCAAGGGAUCUGGGAGAAGAAUGAAUUGCUUCAAGGUGAAAUCUAGGUGUCAGGAGAUGAAUGCACUGACUGGCUGCAGUGCUGUAGGCUUGUAUUCUUCAUGCUCAAAAAGUCAAGGACAAAAUCCCUGCAACUGGAAGGCUGGAUUUGGGAGGCAUC